UAAGGUGAUUAUAGUGCAGGAUAUCCACCUCUUCCCAUUCCGAACAGAGAAGUUAAAGCCUGUAACGCCAAUGGUACUAUGAAACAUGGGAGAGUAGGUAGUCGCCGUUU
rnacentral:rRNA from 1 species